ACUGCCGGCUCCUUCCCAGUACAAGUGCUCAGAUGUGCCCAGCCUUUCCCUCCCUGGAUUUACUGAUUCUUUUGGAUCUGUCAUGUCUGCUUUAGAUGAAGUUGGAGGCUGUAAUACAAAAAGCUGUAGUGGGAGAACAUCUCCAUGAAGACUGCCUUUAAGCUGCUUUGUGAUCCCCUGAUGGCUGCCCACAGCUGCCAUGAGCUACAGCAGCUCUCAGUUGCCUGCCUUUCCAUUUGAAAGAUAUUCAUCCUACAUCACUUUAAAGACAAAAGGUGAAGCAGUGCUGUAUGUAUCCUAAGUAACCUUGCAGAAUAUACAGGAGCGCCGAGCAAUUUUGUGAGCAGAGCACAUCAGGGUUUUGUCUCCCAGUUUAAACGAGCAGCAUCACAUCGUGUUGCUGACACCAAGGGUGUAUCUAGGCAGCUGAAAACAAGAUGUGGUACAGAGAAGA